UACGAAGGGGGCUAGCGUUGCUCGGAAUCACUGGGCGUAAGGCGCACGUAGGCGGCUUGUUAAGUCAGGUGUGAAAUCCUGGAGCUCAACUCCAGAACUGCCUUUGAUACUGGCGAGCUUGAGUCCGGGAGAGGUGAGUGGAACUGCGAGUGUAGAGGUGAAAUUCGUAGAUAUUCGCAAGAACACCAGUGGCGAAGGCGGCUCACUGGCACGGUACUGACGCUGAGGUGCGAAAGCGUGGGGAGCAAACAGG
rnacentral:rRNA from 1 species